rnacentral:rRNA from 1 species
CCCUAACCGCGCGAAGGUACCAUAAUCAUUUGUUCUUUAAAUAAGGGCCUGUAUCACCGGCUUCCCGGGGGCUGAACUGUCUCCCCUUUUAAUUCAUUGAAUCUAACCUCUUCUUGAAAAACCUAAAAUAAAAAAAUAAAACAAAAAAACCCCAGGGAGCUUAAAACCAACUACCAAACUUUUUCAAAAAAACCUUAAAAAAUAGGAAACCUGCUACCUAGUUUUUGGCGGGGGCAUCCAAGGAUUAUAAUCAACCCCCCCGGACAAAAAUCUAAAAUUUACAACUCUAAAAGGCAUUAAACUGACGUAAAAUGACCCGAAUAUCAAUCAACAAACCAAUUUACCCUGGGGAUAACACCGCAAUCCAUUUUGAAAGCCCCUAUCAACAAAGGGGUUUACAACCUCAAUGUUGGAUCAGGGUAUCCCAGUGGUGCACCCCCUACUAAGGGUUCUUUUGUUCAACAAUUAAAACCCUACUUGAUCUGAUUUCAAACCGG